rnacentral:rRNA from 1 species
GAUGAACGCUAGCGGCAGGCCUAACACAUGCAAGUCGAGGGGCAUCAUGGCGUAGCAAUACGCUGAUGGCGACCGGCGCACGGGUGCGUAACGCGUAUGGAACCUACCCACCGCAGGGGGAUAACCCGCCGAAAGGCGGACUAAUACCCCAUGGUUCCCCGACCCUGCCUGGGGUUGGGGGUAAAGCCUACGGGCGGCGGUGGAUGGCCCUGCGUGCCAUUAGCUGGCUGGUGGGGUAACGGCCCACCAGGGCGACGAUGGCUAGGGGGUCUGAGAGGACGAUCCCCCACACUGGUACUGAGACACGGACCAGACUCCUACGGGAGGCAGCAGUGGGGAAUUUUGGACAAUGGGCGAAAGCCUGAUCCAGCCAUGCCGCGUGCGGGAAGAAGGCCUUCGGUUGUAACCGCUUAGUCCGGAAAAGGGGUGCGAGGAUAAUACCCUCGUGCUUUGAUGGUACUGGAAGAAUAAGCACCGGCUAACUACGUG